rnacentral:piRNA from 1 species
UAAGUGCACAAACCAUUUGAAACUGUUGGU